GGGAAAGGAAGAAAGACGACCAGAAUCAAUGAAAACAACGGAAUCAGAACAGAGUCCCCUUGUUGACGAAAAUUUAGUGGAAACCAUGAUUUAAUGGUCAUGGAAGAUGUGUAUGAAGAUUAUUUAAAGGAUCAAGGGAACCUUACCUUGGUUCCGGCAGUGUUUAGGCCACAACAGUAGCGGAAGGCAUCGCGCGAAAACUCGGCAAUCACCGACGAACCACAACCCAAGACUGAGACCUCCGAUGGAGGGUGUCGAAGGAAAAGGGUCGGCCAUUUAAAUAGAGCAAGAGGGAGAGCAUCGAAGUCCCCUUCGAACUUGGAUUGCCACAGAAGGAAUCGGGAAAUUAGCACAUGCGGCGCAGGCGCUCAAUUUUCAAUGUUUUUUUGUUUGGGCGGUUUAUGCUUACUG
rnacentral:lncRNA from 1 species